GAGAAUGGGUUUAGGAGGAUGAGGAUGGGUUUGGGAGGAUGAAGAUGCGUUUGGGAGGAUGAGGAUGUGGUUGGGAGGAUGAGUUUGGGGGCACGAGGAUGGGUUUGGGGGACGCAGGGGGAGCUGAAGGGACGAUCACCGCGGCUGCCACACCUGGUUAACAGGUGGCCCCAGCACAGUCUGCGGUGGGGAAACCACAUCAGCCCUCUCUUCGUUUUCGGGUGAACUCGUACACGCUCAAGAAAGCAGCAGCGCCGCCUUCCCCUGGCAUUAGCACAUAACGGCCUGGAAUGUGAGCAGACAGUAAUGAAUUACCCACCUGAUUGACACUUGGCUGUUGGGUUUUUUCAUCUACUGUAAAACAAGUAAAAAUGUGCCUGGCUCCGUAUCGUCUCUUCUUUUUUCAAAGGAUCAGUUAGACACAGGGACUCCAGUGUGAAUAAACUCAGAUUUAUGUCCCCAUCAGUUGGAUCCUUAAACUUCCUAAGUACUUAAAACAUAGACAUUUUAGCUUGAAAAAUUACCAGGUUUGUCUAAAGGAAAAUUUCUAACAUAAACCAGGAAACUCAUUUGGAGGGAGAAAUUCUCCGCUGAAGCGAGCCCGGGCAGCCGUGAAGCAGUGAAACCGGGCACGGAGGGGCACGCCAGCCGGGUGCCGCAGCCACAUGUCUCUCUGGUUGUUUUUACAUUUUUAUAACCUAGAUCAGAUGACAGGAGAACAUGUGAAUGUAUCGAGGGGGAUCCGUCGAGAGGAGGAGAACUUUGCUUCCAGCCUCGAGGGCGCCGAGGUCAGUGGAGCCGCUUCCAGCAGAGAGAGAAACAGGGACCUGGGGCUUCCCCGGAGCAGCCCCCUGUGACCAACCAGUAUCGGUGAGAGUAUUAAUGGUUAUUAGCGCAAGUCGUCUGCACCGAUGGACUCGGGGAAGCUGUCCCUGCUCUGUGCGCCUGUUUCUGGAGGUGGGAGUGUGUGGGGGACUCGCCGGGGGCCGGAUCAGCCGCAGCCGCAGCAGCUGCUUCCCCGCGGGCGCCGGGACGAUGCGCUCGGGAGCGUCUCCUGCCGCUUCCCCUUCGCUUCCAGCCCAGAUCCUGUCAUUCCACCACAAACCAGCGUUUGAGCCGCCCCGUCCCCGCCACCGCCGGCUGCCACCAGGCCCACGGCACAGCAGCCGCUUCGCCACCACGUCUCGUGUUCGCUGCCCACACCUGCUCGUGCCCCGUGCCGGCUCCGGAGCGAACAGCUAUGGAGCAAACAGCAGCUCCAGAGCAAGCAACAGCUAUGGAGAAAACAACUCCAGAGCAAACAGCAGCUCCGGUGUGGUGAUUUUCCACUACAAAGAAUUCUUCAUUUUCACUGGUCCAGACAAUCAGGACCCAGACCAGCCCCAUUGUUAGGGUGGUGCAAAAGUAAUUGCGGUUUUUGCAUUGUCAAAAUGCACCGUUUGAUACUGGAAUACCUUCUUAAAUAAAUGCAAUUACGUUAUACAUAAUUUUAAUGAGCUUUUCUCACUUUCUGUUUUUUUGGGGGGGACUGACUACUUCUUGUUUAUUUCAUUUUUUGUAUAUUUCUGUCUAUGAUAUAUUUAUUUGAUCAUCAGCACUUUCUCCGAUGUACCCGCCCUUUGGCUUUGCUGGGUGACGGGGAGCCCCGGUGUGUGGGGGGUACAGGAGCGGGGCUGGCGGGAGGGUUAAGCAGCUGUGGUGCUGCAGGAGCGCAGCUGUGUGCCGGGAGGGGAUCUGCAGCAAUUAGGGGCUGCCAGGGCUACAAAAAGGCCGGUGUUGGGGGCGAGCAGGGCUCUGGGAGAGAUCUGUGUGCUGGAGAGAGGAAAGAUGGUUUGUGGCAGGGUUUGAGAACAGGCCGUUGGUGAUAACAGCGACCACACGUUCUUUGGAGCGGGUGAUGGAGACACGACGCGGGCAGCGAGCCCGGGAGUGAGAUGCUUUGAGGUGUAAGUGACCCAGAGGAGUUACUACCGGGCGUAGCCCUGCAGUGAUGGAGCGCCCAGCCUUGGGCACCACCUUGGAGCAGGAGCGCGCUGCCGGCACAUUUAACUGGAAGGGCCGCAGCUCUUCCUGCAGACGACAAGAUCACGGUCUGAGCAGAUACGGCAAGGGGACGGAGGGCAUCGGCGACUGACAGCGCUCCAACGCCCCCGCCCGCAGUGGAAAAGCAGGAUACUCGUCCCCAGCCAGUGCUGGCUUGCAGUCACACAUGGACACAACAUUAUUGUUACAAACACAGUGAGUCCCACCUCGGGAGAACCGCUGACGAGAGGCUGCAUCGGCUGUUCCCACGCUCGUCAGGCACCGAGGGCUACUGGAUGUCGCAGUCCGAGGUCCCAUCUCGUGACAGCGCUGGGCGGUUUGGCAUGAAUGCGGGGACAACGUGACCGGGUUUAGGUGAUUUCUCCGCUGACCGGUUGCACCGACCCUUCCCGUGCCCGGUUCUGGGACGGGACGGUGUCCCGGGCGUGCGGGGAGGUUCCUGCUCGCAGGACGUGCCCUGCACGCCGAGAUUGCUGCCGGGCUGUGAGCGCAGCCGUUCCGAGCGAGCAGGCGGCCGCGUUGCCAUGCGGAGGGUGUCGAGGGCUCGCUGCCAGCACCUGAACCAGCUACAGGCCAAGGCGGCAGCUCCCUUGCAUAAUUGCGCAGGGCCAAUACCUCUGUGAGAAGCACAAGCUGCUUGUGGGCAAAGAAUCAAAAUUCAUAGAAUAAAUUAUACGCGCUAAAUUAUUUGCCCAGCUUUGUUGAUUAUCUGCAGUUAAGAAGUUGGAGGGAGCUGAGCUCCUCGGCACAUAAACACCAGACGGAUGCUCGUUGUCAGGAGGUGCUGGGGCUCGGGCAGGGAGGAGGGGAGAAGUUCCAGCCUGUGGACCCCCUGUGGCUCCAGUGAGCCCCCCGAUGGCAUUUGAGUUCCCCCAGAAGCGCGUCCUGGCUUUGGGGACCCAGCCCUGGCCACGCCGCGGCCACAGAUGAAGGCUUGUGCUCCUCAUUGUCACGGAGGGACCACGCGGUGGGUCGGGCACAGACGGGCUGCGCCUGAACCCGGUGAUGAAUUGCAGCUUGAUGACUUCCCCUCCUUCAAUGGAGCCGAACUGGCUUGGGGAAACUGUUUGAUUUAAGAAGAAUAGGCCUAAUUUUGGAAGUGCUUCACGCCCAUCAAUCUAAGUGAAAUUCAUUUAUCUGAGGCACAGCUGAUAUGUCUGCCAUUUACAUAGUAUUAAGUGCCUCCCAAUCCCUGAUAUAUUGGAGCUCCCAGUGGGGGGAAAAGGACAGUGUUGCUCUCCCCAUUUUGCAGGUGGAGAAGAGGAUUUGCAGCGUAAUCAAAUGAGUCAGUGGAGUCAGGGCAGCUCUGCCCAGAAACGGCAUCCGCCCCCAGAAACAGGCAGGCGGUGGCUCCGCGCCCCGGCCCGCGGCUGCGCGGGCGUCCGGGGUGACGUACGCACGGCGACGGGCAGGAGGAGCCGUCACAGCGUUCUCCAUCCCCGGUCUAACAUGGCUUUACGAAGCGUUUGCCAUCGUGUCUGGAAGGCAAGGUUGGAAGGCAGGCUGGGAAUCACAGCAGUAUCUGAUGGAGGAGUUAUUUAGAGGGAAGAGACAUAUGGCGUCUUAAAUAAAAAGCACCUACUCAGUGGUUAAUCUCCACUUGAAAAGCGUCCAGGCCGGGCUCGUGCAUCCACCGUGGCACUCCCUGCCACGCGCCUGCUGUCCAAAGAUGCAGAUGCCGGGUUAACGCCGCGGCUCUCCCCACCCCUCCCUGGCUGCGCCGGCCCUGCCAGCCCCGUGCCGGCUCCAGACCCUCCUUCCUGCAGCUCUCCGCGGGCACUUGGGGUGGUGAUGAGACACCCGGGCAGUCACAGGGUUUGUUUAAUGGCAAAGCUAUCCCAGCUGCUUUAUAAGCAAACAGGAGUAAUGGGGGGGAAGAAGUUUCUCCCUCUUCCUCUCGGAUCUUCUGAGUAUGCACUUCUGCUGUGAUUUAUCCUUGUUGCAACCUUAUCGACUGCCUGGGGAUGUAAAUCAAGCAAACGGACAUUGUACCCGGAAUUCCACUUAUUUAUACAGAGAUUGAAAGGCUAUAAUUACGGCUGCUAUUAAUAAAUACAGCCUGGCAGAGAGGAGAGACACAGGUGUCCGUCUCCUCGGGGGGCAGGGAUGGAAACGUCCAUGGUGGGAGACGGCCCUGGCUGCCAAGCAAACUUUCCCCGCUCCUCUGGGUGCUAAAUCAGCCUCUCCGCACACAGCAGCAAUCUGCUGUUAAUUAGAGGAUACCCAAGGAGGUGACAACGCCAGCCUGGUGAAAAGUAAAACAUGCGAAAGCUUCUCCCUCGCUGCUUGUUUCAUCCUGUCGGCUCAUCCCCACCUCAGCCCCCCCAAAUUCCAGCCUCCCUGGCCGGGGACCCGCAGGGGAGGCAGCAGAACGCGCAGCCCACGCCACUCCUGUCCCUGUGCCGCGGGGACGGCGCGUUACAGCAAAACUGUGACAUGCUCGAAGGGACUGCAGCUCUGGCUGCGACGGUGGGAAGGAGAUGAACGGCGCUGCUCCCCCUGGCACCGGCGUGACUGGCAGCCUGGGGACAGCAGAGCCCGCUCCAAGUGCUCCCCGGGGCCCCGGGGGGAGCUCAUUAUGGCUGGGCUGGCAGGAGCCGUGGCUCUGCUUUGUGAGCUGUGAAACCUGUGUUUAUCCAGCACUCAGCUCCGCUCAGCACACGUUAAGCAGCCCGGGGUAUUGAGCAGGAGGAAUGAGAAGUGCGUUACCCGGCCUGCUGCUGAGGCAGAGCUCGGAGACAGGAGGGGAGCGGGGCCCUGGC